rnacentral:misc_RNA from 1 species
GAUGAAGAACGUAGUGAAAUGCGAUAACUAGUGUGAAUUGCAGAAUUCCGUGAAUCAUCGAGUCUUUGAACGCACAUUGCGCCCCCUGGUAUUCCGGGGGGCAUGCCUGUCCGAGCGUCAUUGCUGCCCAUCAAGCACGGCUUGUGUGUUGGGUCGUCGUCCCCUCUCCGGGGGGGACGGGCCCCAAAGGCAGCGGCGGCACCGCGUCCGAUCCUCGAGCGUAUGGGGCUUUGUCACCCGCUCUGUAGGCCCGGCCGGCGCUUGCCGAACGCAAAUCAAUCUUUUUCCAGGUUGACCUCGGAUCAGGUAGGGAUACCCGCUGAACUUAAGCAUAUCAUAAGCGGAGGA